rnacentral:rRNA from 1 species
UACGUAGGGUGCGAGCGUUGUCCGGAAUUAUGGGGCGUAAAGAGCUCGUAGGCGGUCUGUCGCGUCGGUCGUGAAAACCUGCAGCUUAACUGUGGGCGUGCGGUCGAUACGGGCAUGACUGGAGUUCGGCAGGGGAGACUGGAAUUCCUGGUGUAGCGGUGAAAUGCGCAGAUAUCAGGAGGAACACCGGUGGCGAAGGCGGGUCUCUGGGCCGAUACUGACGCUGAGGAGCGAAAGCGUGGGGAGCGAACAGG